rnacentral:tRNA from 1 species
GGGGUUGUAACUCAGUGGCAGAUAGCUUGCCUUGAAUGUAUGAGGCCUUGGGUUCAAUCCUCAGCACCACA